AGUAUGACCAUUCUUGUGUUCCAUUGUAAGCGAUAAAGCAAAUAUGCCACGUGUUAAAAUGCUUGCCCUUUUCAAAUCUUGGUCACUUUGGCUGAAGUUCAAAAUGCUCCUUAAUCUUUAUUCAAGUCAACUCCUUUGAUUUUUUUUUUCUUGCCUGUAAGGUCAAAGCCUUUUAAAAAAAAUAAAUCUCUGACCCAAUUUUUUUCCCUCUUUCCAUGCAUAGGUCUGGGAGUCAAAGUUGUUGUCUGACUCUACAGCUUGACUACAGCAGAAUUUCUAACCCUCCAAAUUCCUCCUGGGCUGACAAAUGUCAACAAAGACCCAGAGAAACACCAAAGAGAGUGCACUGUCAACAGACGGCGGAGGAGGAGGACGGGCGGGGAUUCGUACUCAUCGGCCGCAGCGAUUGGGCGCGAGACUGGCCUCCUCUUCGCCAUUGGCUGCUCGCGGUGUCUCUCCGCAUCUGUUGUCGCCGCUUCCCGCGCCAUUCAGCGUGCACGCGCCAGGCAAGGCAGGCAUGUAUCCGCCUGGAGACUGUCUGGAGUCUGUCUGAAAUUGAUAAAUUUGAAGAUGGGAGUUUUUUAGCAUGUCUCUGCUGGUUCGCGAGAAAGCUGCCCGCUGAAAAUGGGAAUUCUUGCUCUCCUCCCCAGACGCCUUCGCGCACGAGUCGCCACGCUCAGCCAGAAAUAUAUAUAUUUAUAUAUUUUUCUCAGAUAAAUGCUGUGAAAGUUUUUUUUCUCCUGCAGUCUAUCAGCAAACAGCUCUUUAUGCACAGGCAGGGGACCAGACCCUCAGCCCCAGGAGUUCAAGAAGAGUCCACCAUCCAGAAGGCAGCAAGCACCAGUACAAAAAAGAGUGCCCUCUCUCUGUGAGGGACCUCAAGCUUCACUUUGACAUCACAAGUUACUUUCACUCAGCCUGUUCCAGUGUCUGACAAAAAUGAUCGGAAUUACAAUUACAAAGGAGAUCCAUGAUUUCUUGCAGCCUGUCAUGUCCUCAGCGUCCUUGACGCCCAAAUGAUAAUCAUGGAUAUGGAUCUCGUAACUUUCACUUGAGGCUUUGCCGGAAAAUGCUGAUGCAAGAAGGGCUCUGAAUCUCCAUCCCUUUUUCCCAUUGGCUCAUUGUCUCCUCCCACAGUGCAGUCACGAGGUCUAACAUUAUGAUGAUGUCUGGAGAAAACAGGCUUUCAUCUCGGCUGUAAUGCGUCUUGAGCUACAAUGAAAUGAUAUUCUGGGUUAUUUCUGUUGCACACAGAGUCAAUUUUGAGUAAUGUUUCAAAGCAUUGCUCUGUACAAGAGCAUCACCUACCAUUGUCUGUCGUAAACAUUGGGUUGUUUGCCUCACCAGCCUCUGCUGCGUCAUGACGCAGUUUUCCUUUGAGAUUGAUGUGGCAUAUUUUAAAUGAAGGUCUUUCCUGUAUUUCAAGGAGUCUCCUGGCAGUCUGCUAAAACAUGGAUCCAUUUGCCUGUUCUCUCCUCAGAGCAUAACUGCACAGCUGUGACCCUUGGCCGGUCCUAGCCACUGAUAACUCAAAGCCGGCUGCGUCCAUUUUAGGUUUAGGCAGUGGCGAAAGAGAUGAACUGUAAAGUAGCUUGUAGGAAAAGGAAUCAGGACUGUAAGCGUAAAUCCCAUUAGAAAAUGGCACGAUGUUGGAGGAGUAAACUAAAAUUCAAUGGAACAGAUAUUAGGGUUCAUGUGAAAAAUCUCCUACUGAAUUGUCGUUUAUGAUUUAUAGUUAUACUUUUUGUAAAUCGCAGUGCAACAUUUUUUGGGAUGUGCAUUUUGAUUUUAUCAAAAAACUAUUCCACUGUCCAUGUAUUUUAAACUAUCCUAUCCUCCUAAUUGUCUUGAUGCAAUGUUUAAUAUGAUUUAUAAAAAAAUUAACAUCAACAAACUAUUUAAACUAAUCAAUUCUGUAUAAUGUAUAAUAGCAGUUAAAAUAUAUGCUAUUAAAUGUUGUUUGCGAUGUACAGGUGCUAUUAUUUGUUUUAUAUUUUAA